rnacentral:rRNA from 1 species
AACGAACGCUGGCGGCAGGCCUAACACAUGCAAGUCGAGCGCCCCGCAAGGGGAGCGGCAGACGGGUGAGUAACGCGUGGGUAUCUACCUAGUGGUACGGAAUAGCCCAGGGAAACUUGGAGUAAUACCGUAUACGCCCGAAGGGGGAAAGAUUUAUCGCCAUUAGAUGAGCCCGCGUUGGAUUAGCUAGUUGGUGGGGUAACGGCCCACCAAGGCGACGAUCCAUAGCUGGUCUGAGAGGAUGACCAGCCACACUGGGACUGAGACACGGCCCAGACUCCUACGGGAGGCAGCAGUGGGGAAUCUUGGACAAUGGGCGAAAGCCUGAUCCAGCCAUGCCGCGUGAGUGACGAAGGUCUUCGGAUUGUAAAGCUCUUUUGGCGGGGACGAUAAUGACGGUACCCGCAGAAUAAGCCCCGGCUAACUUCGUGCCAGCAGCCGCCGCGGUAA